ACCUCUUCAUCAGCGAAAGUCAACUAGCUGAAGAGUGAAAACCUCCCACACGGAUACCUUCUCCAUCUCCCAAAAAGGGGCAAGGCAAAAUUGGUUCACAGUGAGUAGAGAAAAGGAAGAAUGAAUGAAAUUCCUUCUCAGAAGUCCUGGGAUAAAGCAUGUCAUCGAUUAUCAAAGUUAACUUUUCCUCCCAAAAUGAAAAUUGCUGUAUUUUUUUGGAGCAUAUACCUAAUAUAAAUUAUAUUCUCAAUAAACAACAGUAUAGAAAA